GACGAACCGUCCCAACGUUAUUCGGAAUCACUGGGCUUAAAGGGUGCGUAGGCGGCCCGGUAAGUUGGGUGUGAAAGCCCUCGGCUCAACCGAGGAAUGGCGCCCAAUACUGCCGGGCUUGAGGAAGGCAGAGGUGAGCGGAACUUAGGGUGGAGCGGUGAAAUGCGUUGAUAUCCUAAGGAACACCAGUAGCGAAAGCGGCUCACUGGGCCUUUUCUGACGCUGAGGCACGAAAGCUAGGGGAGCGAAC
rnacentral:rRNA from 1 species